CACAAAAGGAGGGAGGGAGCGCCCGGGGCAGGACUUCCUCCACCUUCGGGAGCGCAGGGCGGAGUGGGGGGCUUGGAGAGGGGAGACGGAGGGACGGCGUUCGCGGGGGCGCCCACUGCCCGUCCCCCUCCCUUCGGCUCCGCUUGCCAACCUCUCUCGGUGUGUCUGUCGGUUGCAGAGUCGGAGGUUGGCGCGGUCCCCCGCCCCCCGCGCGCCCCACGGGAAGGAGGCGCCCCCGAACUCAAAAGAGAGGAGCGGAAAGAAGCUUCUCUUCGCCCGCCGGGAGGCGAGCCGAUGCCGAGCUGCAGCGCGUCCACCAUG
rnacentral:other from 1 species